rnacentral:lncRNA from 1 species
GUCUGCUCUCCGAAACUCUGUUCUCAGUAAAAGCACCAUCAGGUCAAGAAAACAUGUACGUCAAUCAGUUCCUCUUUGCUUAAAUGAAUUCCGCAUGAAUUGGUCAUUUGCAACCAAGAGUUCUGACAAAUACAUUGCACAAGAAAAGAGAAAUCAUGAAUCAUGAAAAAUGGAUCUUAAUUCCUUUAAGAUGAUGGAGCCAGCAGCAAAUCACAUCUCUGUGGUGGGAACAGAGACAUCUAGAGAACAACUUCUUCGUGAGAAGAAAGAGAAGAGCUCUGGGAAUCAAGAAAGAACCAGUAGGAAAGCUAAAAAUCACAGAGAACAGAAGACAACCAGAGAAAGGAAUGAAGCAGUGUGGAAAGCUAACUCUGACUCCAGGGUAGAGGGGAUCUCACCCCCAAACACAAGAUACCUUGAAGUCUGCCUUGAAGAGGGAAGAAACAAAGACAAGAGCUUGGUGGAUAGAAUAGACAUCAGAGAUGAGAAACCAGGCGUUAUAACACUGUACAAUCCAACGUGUCUCCCAUAUGUGUGGAAGAAUGAGAAGCAAGAAAAACCAGUUUCAAUCUAUAUUGUGUCCAGUGGGCAGGGAGCAUAUUUGGCACUAGGCUUCCUGCUAGAGAUUUCAGAUAUUGCCAGGCUGAAACAGUUCAUGCCUCUGGUUGUUGGGACAUAAACAGACAACUUACCAAGAUUUCCUCCCAGAGACAAAGUGGCUUCUCUUUGGAGAAGAUGUUCUGCUCCCUGAGUGUGAUGUGGUGGAAGGGAUUGAAAUCCAAGCAUAUGGGCUGGGAAAUGGUCCACCAAGAAUUUGGGAUCCAAGGAAGGAAUAAGCUCUGCUGACAGAGUCAUCCCAUGCCAAGGACAAAAAACCUAUGGAUGCCAAAUGGGACACAGAGUGAACAGCCUCUUCCAGGGAUACCUGAGAAAGCAGAAGACUGACCUUAGCAGUUGUUGUAUUACCUCCUCACAGAGGGGUCUGGACAAAGCCGUUGUCAAAGGAUCUCACUAUGUAGACCAGGAUGGCUUGAACUCACUAUGUAGCCCAGUUGGCCUCGAAUUCAUGGCGAUCCUCCUGCCUCAGCAUCCCAAGUACUGGAAUUACAGGUUUAUCCUGGAGGACUUUUUCCUAGAUUCCUGUAACUAAAAAUUAGCUACAACAAUGUUUCUGAAAGAGGUUUUGGAUAAGCCAUCUAAAGCCUUAUAUACUUGAUACUAUUUUUAUUUACUUGUAUUUAAAUGAUAGUUGGGCUAUAUAUAAAAUUCUAGGUUGAAAGUCCUUUUCCAUCAAUGUUUUAAAAUAUUGCUUCACUGUCUCCUUGUAUCCUAUUUUGUGAUCAAGGUUUUCUGUCAGUCUGUUUUUCCCUUUUGAUCAACUUCUAC